GGGCCCGCACAAGCGGUGGAACAUGUGGUUUAAUUCGACGCUACGCGAGGAACCUUACCUAGGCUUGACAUGCACUUGACAGCCGUAGAGAUACGGUUUUUUGGGUUUCGGCUCAAACAAGUGCACAGGUGCUGCAUGGCUGUCGUCAGCUCGUGUCGUGAGAUGUUGGGUUAAGUCCUUUAACGAGCGCAACUCCUGCCGUUAGUUGCCACUCUUUUUGAGGCACUCUAACGGGACUGCCUGGGAAACCAGGAGGAAGGUGGGAAUGACGUCAAGUCAUCAUGGUCCUUAUGUCUAGGGCUACACACGUGUUACAAUGGCCAGUACAACGGGUCGCCAACCUGCAAAGGUGCGCUAAUCCCUGAAAGCUGGUCUAAGUUCGGAUUGGGGUCUGCAACCCGACCCCAUGAAGUUGAAAUCGCUAGUAA
rnacentral:rRNA from 1 species